rnacentral:rRNA from 1 species
UACACUUUAAAUCCUUUAACGAGGAUCUAUUGGAGGGCAAGUCUGGUGCCAGCAGCCGCGGUAAUUCCAGCUCCAAUAGCGUAUAUUAAAGUUGCUGCGGUUAAAAAGCUCGUAGUUGGAUCUCAGUCUCGGUCGGACGGUCCACUUCACGGUGGUACUGUUCGAAUCGGACAUUUGGCCGCCUUUCUCAGUAUGCUCUUCACUGAGUGUAUUGGGAGAGUGGCACGUUUACUUUGAAAAAAUUAGAGUGCUCAAAGCAGGCAAUUGCCUGAAUCUUCGUGCAUGGAAUGAUGGAAUAGGGCCUCGGUUCUAUUUUGUUGGUUUCCGGAACUCGAGGUAAUGAUUAAGAGGGACGGACGGGGCAUUCGUAUUGCGACGUUAGAGGUGAAAUUCUUAGAUCGUCGCAAGACGAACUACUGCGAAAGCAUUUGCCAAGAAUGUUUUCAUUAAUCAAGAACGAAAGUCAGAGGUUCGAAGGCGAUCAGAUACCGCCCUAGUUCUGACCUUAAACGAUGCUAUCUGGCGAUCCGUCGGUGUUAAUUCCAAUGACCCGACGGGCAGCUUCCGGGAAACCAAAGUGUUCAAGUUCCGGGGGAAGUAUGGUUGCAAAACUGGAACUUAAAGGAAUUGACGGAAGGGCACCACCAGGAGUGGAGCCUGUGGCUUAAUUUGACCCAACACGGGAAAUCUCACCAGGCCCGGACACUGGCAGGAUUGACAGAUUGAUAGCUCUUUCUUGAUUCAGUGGGUGGUGGUGCAUGGCCGUUCUUAGUUGGUGGAGUGAUUUGUCUGGUUAAUUCCGAUAACGAACGAGACCCCGUCCUACUUACUAGACUGAGGAUUCUUUUGUCCUCAGAAUCUUCUUAGAGGGACAACUGGCGUUUAUCUAGCUACAUGAAAUGGGGCAAUAACAGGUCUGUGAUGCCCUUAGAUGUUCUGGGCCGCACACGCGCUACACUGAAGGGAUCAUCGUGUUUGUCCUAGCCUGAAAAGGCCGGGAAAUCUGUUGAAAUCUCUUCGUGCUAGGGAUUGAGGCUUGCAAUUUUUUCUCAUGAACGAGGAAUUCCCAGUAAGUGCGAGUCAUAAGCUCGCGCUGAUUACGUCCCUGCCCUUUGUACACACCGCCCGUCGCUACUACCGAUUGGAUGAUUUAGUGAGGCCUUCGGACUGGCUGCUAGUGGGGCACUUGUGUCCUGCUGGUGGAUCGGGAAGAUGUUCAAACUGUAUCAUCUAGA